UUAAAAGUCUUUUCGUUCACAUUGGCCGCCAUCAUCGGUUCCGGAAGCCCUGGCGGAAGUAUCCAAAUUCAGAAUAACAGUCACAUCGGUUUCUCGGAGAUGGCUAGACCGAAUCAACCAAACUUAAUCUCAAAUGAAAGAUGUUGCGUCCCCGUAAAUGGCCAUUAAAUUUUAUCCCGAACCGACUUCCGGUUCCGGAGUUACGGGUUGUGGCGUGCGAUCACAUAGCAAAUUGUGAUUCAAACCGAUACUCCGAUGAAAGAAAAAAAGGUAAAAAUUUCGCUAAAAUGUCUCUCAAACAACUUAAAUUUGCAGUUCUAGGUCACCGACGGCCAAACAAACUUUCGUUGACUACAUUGACCACCAUAGACGAUUCUGGAAGUGCCCGGGAAAAGUGACCAUCUUUCAAAACUAGCAAAUCCAUAUCAGCUUCUCGAAAAUGGUUGGACCGAUUUCACAAACUUAGUCCCAAAUGAAAGCUAUAUUAUCCCCACAGAUGUCUAUAAAAUUUCGCGCGGAUCGCUUAUAUGGUUCCGGAAAUAUAGACUGAACCAAAUCGAAUUCGUAUUUUUGAUGUCAAGCAUCGUCGAGAUUUUAUGUUAUCACGAAUUUUUUUUAUAAAUUUCGACUUUUUGGGACUUUGCCGAUUUCGCACCUUUUUGCCUUUCUCAUAUAAAGAAAGGCUAUGCAAUCACUGUAAAAAUCGACUUUUUAACCGAGGCCGGAUUCGAUUGUGUGUGUAUGUGUGUGUCAUUUAAACUCACACAAUUUUCUCAGAGAUGGACGAACCGAUUUUCACAAACUUAAUUUUAAAUGAAAGAGUUACGGAUUGAAGAGUGCGGUCACACAGCAAAUUCCCAUAUAAACUGGUAUCACUUUGAUGUACAAAUGGUGUAAUACGUAUUAAAAUGGGUCCAACAUUACUUGAAUUUGCUGGUCUAGAUCACUAAUGAUCAUUCAAAGCAGCUUCGACCACAUUGGCCACCUAUGACGGAUCUUGA